rnacentral:rRNA from 1 species
CAGUAGCCGCGGGAAUACGUAGGGUGCGAGCGUUAAUCGGAAUUACUGGGCGUAAAGCGUGCGCAGGCGGUUCGUUAAGACAGAUGUGAAAUCCCCGGGCUUAACCUGGGAACUGCAUUUGUGACUGGCGAGCUAGAGUAUGGCAGAUGGGGGUAGAAUUCCACGUGUAGCAGUGAAAUGCGUAGAGAUGUGGAGGAAUACCGAUGGCGAAGGCAGCCCCCUGGGCCAAUACUGACGCUCAUGCACGAAAGCGUGGGGAGCAAACAGGAUUAGAUACCCCUGUAGUCCCUGUCUCUUAUAA